GAUGAACGCUGGCGGCGUGCUUAAUACAUGCAAGUCGAGCGAACAGACGAGGAGCUUGCUCCUCUGACGUUAGCGGCGGACGGGAGAGUAACAUGUGGAUAAUCUACCUAUAUUACUGGGAUAACUACGGGAAACCGGCGCUAAUACCGGAUAAUAUAUUGAACCGCAUGGUUCAAUAGUGAAAGACGGUGUUGCUGUCACUUCUAGAUGGUUCCGCGCUGGUUUGGCUAGUUGGUCAGGUAACGGCUUACGAAGGCAACGAUGCGUAGCCGACGUGCGGGGGUGGUCGGCCACACGGGAGCUGAGACACAGUCCAUGCUCCUGCGGGAGGCAGCAGUAGGGAAUCUUCCGCAAUGGGGGAGAGCCUGACGGAGCAGCGCCGAGUGUGUGAUGAAGAUCUUCGGAUCGUAAAACUCUGUUAUUGGGGAAAAACAAAUGUGUAAGUAACUAUGCACGUCUUGACGGUACCUAAUCAGAAAGCCACGGCUAACUACGUG
rnacentral:rRNA from 1 species